CUGAAUUAAUGAAGGGUUGUCGCUGACUCUUAGGAGUAUGUGCACGCCCUUCAAAUUCAUCUCAACCACCUGUGCACCUGUGUAGACUAUAGCAACUCUCAGUCUUUUAUUAGACUGGAUAGAGGGACUUGCGUUCUAGCUGUCCUUCAAUGUUGUAGUUCUACGUUUUAUCUAUCUACUAUACUGUCCAGAAUGUCUUUAUUAGGUCUAGUACCUAUAAACUUAUA
rnacentral:misc_RNA from 1 species